rnacentral:rRNA from 1 species
AUUGAACGCUGGCGGCACGCCUAACACAUGCAAGUCGAGCGGCAGCGAGACUAGUAGCAAUACUAGUUGUCGGCGAGCGGCGGACGGGUGAGUAACACGUAGGAAUCUGCCCUUAAGCGGGGGAUAACCAAGGGAAACUUUGGCUAAUACCGCAUAAUCUCGAGAGAGCAAAGCUGCCCGCAAGGGUGGCACUUGAGGAGGAGCCUGCGUCCGAUUAGCUAGUUGGUGGGGUAAUGGCCUACCAAGGCGAUGAUCGGUAACUGGUCUGAGAGGACGAACCGUCACACUGGGCGUGAGACACGGCCCAGGUGCCUAGGGGAGGCAGAAGUGGGGACUAUUGGACAAUGGGGGCAACCCUGAUCCAGCGAUGCCGCGUGAGUGAAGAAGGCCUUCGGGUCGUAAAGCUCUUUAGGUUGGGAAGAAGGGUAUUGGCUGAAUAAUCCAGUACUUUGACGGUACCGACAGAAUAAGCACCGGCUAACUUCGUGCCAGCCGCCGCAGUAAAAC